CACCAACCUAAUAUAAAAAAAAAGCACCUUAAAUACUAGAACUCCACUCGGGGCUUUUGCUCCUAGAGUAGAAUUGGCAGGAAUUGCCUGCAGGCUUACAUGGUUUUCUUUGUUUUUCUCUCCCACCAUGUCCCUUUUGGUCAACCUCACGUGCUGGGUUUGAAUCAGUUAAAUGAGUGUCAUGCUGUGGCCUCACUUCACCCAGCAUAGACAAGUGUUUGGAAGGGUGGCGUUAGAGGAGAUUCUAGAAGCAGUAGCCCCAGCACAAGUUGAGCCCUUGGCCCCUGCUCAGGAGACGGCCUCUGGAUGGGAUUCAGGGAUGCGAGCCCCUCAUGUGAGCUGAGCUCAGGGAAUGUCGGGAUCAAAUCUGGUGUCCUAGAAAAGUCAUCUUUUAUGUGCUGAACCAGUCCCCAGGGGGUUGCAUUUACUUGUUCCAUGGCCAUGGAAUUUAGAAAAACAUGCAAAAAUAAUUCUUCAGUCCUUGAAGAGCAUCCAGCACAGAAGGUACAAACCCUCCUUAAGGCUCCCUCCUCAAAUCGGUUUGGCCAUUUUGAUGUGCACCCCCGCCAGGCCUUUAUACCCUUCAGAUGCCAAAUCUAAGAACCAGCUCCCAGAAACCACACCCCCUGUUCCAACCCCCAGCCUGGCUUGAGCGUGGGGUGGGUGGGAGCCCAGCUGGGCACCCCAGGGGUCUGGUGUCUUCUCCAGGAAGCUCUCGGGUUCCCUUGGUUCUCUCUGCAGUUUACAUGAGCUGGUGAAACAUGAAGAAAAUGGCCUGGUCUUUGAGGACUCAGAGGAACUGGCAGCUCAGCUGCAGAUGCUUUUCUCAAACUUUCCUGAUCCUGCAGGCAAGCUAAACCAGUUCCGGAAGAACCUGCAGGAGUCGCAGCAGCUCUGAUGGGAUGAGAGCUGGGUGCAGACUGUGCUCCCUUUGGUUAUGGACACAUAACUCCUGGGCCAGAGGCUAAAACCCCAGGGCCCCUGCUGUCCUUCCCGCAGCUUCUUGGAGUGUCAGGGCAAACCCUUUCGAGCAGCGCCUCCCAGUGGCCAGAAGCUGAAAUGACGGCAGUGGUGCCACCUGGUGAAUGACCCGGGAAGCUGUGGUUGGCCCUGAUUUCUUCUUUGGAGUCUCUGAAACGCUUCCUGUCUUUUGUUCUUCAUGCCCCGUGCCCCUGUUAGCGUAUUACUGUUCUCUGACUUCCCUGUGACCUCUGCAGUACUCCUCAUCCUGCAUUUGGUCUCCAGGUGUCACCUUUCUGCCGUGUUCCUAACACUUUGAUCCCUGUCUUGAAAAAAGCACCUGCUGCACCAUAGGCUCAGGGAUGUGGCAGCUGCAGUGGGCUUGGCUUUGUGAGGAACCGAGUGUGUCCAGGGAUGUGACAGCUGCAGCGGGCUUGGCUUUGUGAGGAACCGAGUGUGUCCAGGGAUGUGGCAGCUGCAGUGGGCUUGGCUUUCUGAGGAACCAAGUGUGUCCACAUUGGGGGAACGUCAUACUUGAUACACACUUUUUUAUCUGCACAAAGCCAGAAUUUUCAUGUCUGAUAUAUGGUGAUUUUCGUAAGAACCAGAACUGCUGGCAGAAAGGGGGCACCCACACGCUUAGAUAGCCGAUGUCUUAUUAGAGGGCAGUUUGUGGUUUCUGAUUUGGAAUUUAACAUUCUCCAAACAUUCCAGUACAAUGAAAGUUUUAUCCGCUUUCCCAUAUAAAAAUUCUUCCCAUGAGAUUGACUUGAUUCUCACAAUCCCGUUGGAGUCGUG
rnacentral:lncRNA from 1 species